rnacentral:rRNA from 1 species
GUGUCAGCCGCCGCGGUAAUACGUAGGGUGCGAGCGUUGUCCGGAAUUACUGGGCGUAUUGAGCUCGUAGGUGGUUUGUCACGUCGUCUGUGAAAUCGCGGGGCUUAACUUCGCGCGUGCAGGCGAUACGGCCAUAACUUGAGUGCUGUAGGGGAGACUGGAAAACCUGGUGUAGCGGUGAAAUGCGCAGAUAUCAGGAGGAACACCAAUGGCGAAGGCAGGUCUCUGGGCAGUAACUGACGCUGAGGAGCGAAAGCAUGGGUAGCGAACAGGAUUAGAAAC